GCUGCAUGGCUCGAAGCCACUAAAAUCCCCCUCUUCCGCUCUUCUUCUCUCUCUCUCUCUCUCUCGGCCAUGGAAGCUUGACGACGGAAAACAACCCCCGAAAGAGGCCAUAGAAAAGAAGGCAGCAGAGAAAGGCGAUGGCUUUUCUUCCCAAGUUCUCCUCCCCGCCUCUCCUCCCUCUCCAAAAGCCUUCCCAGCGGCUCGUCCUCUCUACCACCGCUCGCACUAAGCUCGACUUCCCUCCUCCUCUUCCCUCCCGCGGCGACGCCGUGCAAGAGAGGCCGCCCGCGCAUCCCCACAAGCCUCUCACCACUACGACCACCGCCGGCGGCCGCGGCGGCAACGGCAACAAGGACGACUUCUAUCUCAACCUCGGGGUCGCCGUCCGGACCCUCCGCAACGACCUCCCCUCCCUCUUCUCCAAAGACCUCAAUUACGACAUUUACCGGGAAGAUAUCACCUUGAUUGAUCCGCUCAACACUUUCCACGGCAUCGAGAACUACAGGCUCAUCUUCUGGGCGCUAAGGUUUCACGGCAGGAUUUUGUUUAGGGAGAUUGGGCUCCAGAUCUUCCGGGUCUGGCAGCCGUCGGAGAACAUAAUCCUGAUCCGGUGGGAACUGCAGGGGGUGCCGCGGGUGCCAUGGGAGGCGCAGGGGAGGUUCCAGGGCACGUCGUGGUAUAAGCUGGAUAGGAAUGGGAAGAUUUACGAGCAUAAAGUUGACAACUUGGCCUUAAAUUUCCCUCAGGCACCGAUCAGGCCGGCGGCUGUGAUCGAUUUGGUGGCUGCCGCCUGUCCACCGAGUCCUAGUUUGACGUUUUCCGAUGGCAUAUUGGGGGAAAGCUUCACGUUAGGUUCUUCCUCGUGGCUGGAGCUCUACCGGGCGGUGAGGAGUACACUGGAGCAGGAAGGAAGCAGUCCGAUAGGGAUUGGGAUUGAAGGUUUGAUCACCUGUUCAUAGCGUGGGGCAUCACGAGGUGAUUAUGAAGUAUACAUGUACUGCAAAUGAGAAGCAGAGAUCCAACAAUUCUACCUGUUGACACUUUCUUAUCCAACCAGAGCAUCAUACUACCUUAUAACCAGAGAAAUAGAAGCACACAAAGUUUGCAAUACUGUCCGGUAUGGUUUGGUAUUUAUCGGUCCGAUGAGUUGCCAAUACAUGAACCAAGAUCCCGCAUAAAGAAGUGUCAUUAACUGGAGCCGCUUAUGGAUCAUGUUACGAUACACAAGAUGUAUACAGUGACAGUAGAAAUUAGAAAAUGGAUCAAAAUGUACAAAUUAUUUGAACAAUGCUAGAAUUUGAUUUGUAUGGAAUAACUUGGUAUUCAGCAUGAGCAGGUACUCAUACUGUGAAAUCUGGAUUUCAUCCUGUAAAGUCUUUACUCCACUACGGUUUGUGUUAAACAUCUACAGGAAAACAUUCCAUAUCAGAAUGCCUGGGUUCAUCUA